ACGGAGGGUGCGAGCGUUAUUCGGAAUUACUGGGCGUAAAGCGCGUGCAGGCGGGGAGGCAAGUCAGAUGUGAAAGCCCGGGGCUUAACCCCGGAAGUGCAUUUGAAACUGUCUUUCUUGAGUAAUGGAGAGGAAGGGGGAAUUCCCGGUGUAGAGGUGAAAUGCGUAGAGAUCGGGAGGAAUACCAGUGGCGAAGGCGGCCUUCUGGACGGUUACUGACGCUGAUGCGCGAAAGCGUGGGGAGCAAACAG
rnacentral:rRNA from 1 species